rnacentral:lncRNA from 1 species
GAAAAAAACUUUUAAUGAAAGAUUUUAUUUUAAAUUAUGUGUGUGUGUGUGUGUGUGUGUGUGUGUGUGAUAUGAGUUCAGUACUUGUGGAGGCCAGGAGAGGGUUCUGGAUCUCCUGGAGGUGGAGUUACAGGCAGUUGUGAGCUACCCAAUAUUAGUACUGGGAAUCAGACUCAGAUGCUUUGCAUGAGCAGUAAGUAAGUGCUCUUAACUGCUGAGCCAUCUUUUCAGACCCAGGCUGACAAUUUUGGAAUGACACCAUGGCUUGGAUGAUGCAUGUUGGACAAUGAUGAGUGCGUUCAUGGUUCCAAGUGGACUCUUUGGAUGCUGCUGUUCACGUUUUUCAGGAAUGGGUCUAUAAGUGCCUGUGGUGAUAGGGUUAGUUCCUGUAUACCACAAAAGUGAGGUAAGCAGCCUGCAGAGUUUGUGAGUGUUGUUUGCUUUCAUGGGUGCUAAAAGAAAGAUGGAGCCAGCUUACAUGGUUUUCUAAGGGACAGCCUAAACUACAUACCUGGACCACAAAACAGAGGUCUGCAAAGAAUAAACUAGAACUUCAUCACAGGGUACCCCAUAGUAAUGGCAUUUUGUGAAUGUGGGUUAGCUUGCCUGGACUCAAAUCCCCUUUCAGGUAUGCAAACAUUGAUGGAGUUACUUAAACCUCUUCUUGACUGUUUUUUUUUCAUCAGAAGAAUGAGAAUAGUCACUAUGACCUUCUCAUACCUUUGUGUGAAGUUGUGUGAGACAGUGAGUUAAAGGGAGUUCAGAAGAGGUUAUAGAAUCCCCUGGAACUGAAAUUUCAGAUGGUUGUGAACUACCAUGUGGGUGCUGGAAACUGAAUCUGCAAGAAUAGUAAGUGCUUUUAUUCUUAGAGCCAUCUCUCCAGCCCUUGAAUUUUUUCAGACAACUUUUCAUGUAGUCCAGGUUUUGUACUUCCAAAGAACUGGGAUUACAGCUGUGUGCCACUAAACCUAGUUUAUGUGAUGUUGAGAAUUAAACUCAGGGUUCUGUCCAUGCUGGCCAUUUUACCUACUGAGCUACAUUUCUAGUUCUUGAACUAAAACAAAUAAUUAUAUAGGAGAAACAAAGAUGAUUUGUGACUUUAGUUUCCAAUUGUAGCAAGAGAAUGAAAAAUUGAAAUAUUUUUCCAAUGCUAUGAAAUCAUUCAUCUAUUUUCUGCCUAUGAAUUUUCUUAUUCUGAAUAUUUCAGAUGAAUGGAAUAAUUUAUCACAUGGUCUCUUUUGACUGAACUUUUUAAGUUAGCAUCACGUUAUUAAGGUUCAUCUAUGAUGUAGCAUGUUCUUCUUACGAGUGGAUAAUACUUCCUUGUAUGACCAUUGCAUACACUAGCAAGAUUUUGCUAAAAAGACCCAGAUAUAGCUGUCUCUUGUGAGACUAUGCCG